rnacentral:rRNA from 1 species
GACGAACGCUGGCGGCGUGCUUAACACAUGCAAGUCGAACGGUGAAGGGACCGGUUUUUGCUGGUUCUGGAUGAGUGGCGAACGGGUGAGUAACACGUGAGUAACCUGCCCCCUUCUUCCGGAUAACCGCAUGAAAGUGUGGCUAAUACGGGAUAUUCUGCGCCUGCUGCAUGGUGGGUGUGGGAAAGAUAUUGUUUCGGUGGGGGAUGGGCUCGCGGCCUAUCAGCUUGUUGGUGGGGUGAUGGCCUACCAAGGCGGUGACGGGUAGCCGGCCUGAGAGGGUGGACGGUCACACUGGGACUGAGACACGGCCCAGACUCCUACGGGAGGCAGCAGUGGGGAAUAUUGCACAAUGGGCGCAAGCCUGAUGCAGCGACGCCGCGUGAGGGAUGGAGGCCUUCGGGUUGUAAACCUCUUUCGCCAGUGAAGCAGGCCUGUCCCUUUUGUGGGUGGGUUGACGGUAGCUGGAUAAGAAGCGCCGGCUAACUACGUG